rnacentral:rRNA from 1 species
AAUAUUGGACAAUGGGCGAAAGCCUGAUCCAGCCAUGCCGCGUUUGUGAAUAAGGUCNNNUGAUUNUCAAGCACUUUAAGUUGNGAGNAGGGGUUGUAGGUUACUACCCUUCAAUUUUGUCGUUACCAACAGAAUAAGUACCUGCUAACUUCGUGCCACCAGCCGCGGUAAUACGAAGGGUGCAAGCGUUAAUCGGAAUUACUUGGCGUAAAGCGCGCGUAGGUGGUUCGUUAAGUUGGAAGUGAAAGCCACGGGCUUAACCUGGGAAUUGCUUUCAAAACUGACGAGCUAGAGUACGGUAGGGGGUAGUGGAAUUUCCUGUGUAGCGGUGAAAUGCGUAGAUAUAGGAAGGAACAUCAGUGGCGAAGGCGACUACCUGGACUGAUACUGACACUGAGGUGCGAAAGCGUGGGGAGCAAACA